UACGUAGGGUGCAAGCGUUGUCCGGAAUUAUUGGGCGUAAAGAGCUCGUAGGCGGUCUGUCGCGUCGGCUGUGAAAACCCGGGGCUCAACCCCGGGCCUGCAGUCGAUACGGGCAGACUAGAGUGCGGUAGGGGAGACUGGAAUUCCUGGUGUAGCGGUGGAGUGCGCAGAUAUCAGGAGGAACACCGGUGGCGAAGGCGGGUCUCUGGGCCGUAACUGACGCUGAGGAGCGAAAGCGUGGGGAGCGAACAGG
rnacentral:rRNA from 1 species